rnacentral:misc_RNA from 1 species
AAAGUUCUCAACUGCACUGGUUCUUUCUGGUGCGGACUGCACUGGUUCUUUCUGGUGCGGCUUGGAUUUGGGGGAUUUUGCGGGCUUUGAAUGCAAGUCUGCUCCCUUGAAAAUGAUUAGUGGUAUCUGAGCUGUACUAUGGGUGUGAUAAUUAUCUAUGCCUUGAUGUAUUGCCAGAGGAUGCCCUAUGAAAGUGUCGCGAUGA